GACGAACGCUGGCGGUGUGCUUAACACAUGCAAGUCGAACGGUAAGGCCCUUUCGGGGGUACACGAGUGGCGAACGGGUGAGUAACACGUGAGUAACCUGCCCUCAUCUCUGGGAUAACAGUCGGAAACGGUUGCUAAUACUGGAUAUGAGCUUGCAAGGCAUCUUGUGGGUUGGAAAGAUUUUUUUUGGUUGGGGAUGGACUCGCGGCCUAUCAGCUUGUUGGUGAGGUAGUGGCUCACCAAGGCUUCGACGGGUAGCCGGCCUGAGAGGGCGACCGGCCACAUUUGGACUGAGAUACGGCCCAAACUCCUACGGGAGGCAGCAGUGGGGAAUAUUGCACAAUGGACGGAAGUCUGAUGCAGCAACGCCGCGUGCGGGAUGACGGCCUUCGGGUUGUAAACCGCUUUCAAUUGUGACGAAGCUUUUUUGUGACGGUAGCAGUAGAAGAAGCACCGGCUAACUACGUG
rnacentral:rRNA from 1 species